rnacentral:rRNA from 1 species
GAUCAUGGCUCAGAUUGAACGCUGGCGGCAGGCCUAACACAUGCAAGUCGAACGCGAAAGUCCUUCGGGAUGAGUAGAGUGGCGACGGGUGAGUAACGCGUGGGAAUCUGCCCUGUAGUGGGGGAUAACGUUCCGAAAGGGACGCUAAUACCGCAUACGCCCCAAGGGGGAAAGCGGGGGAUCUUCGGACCUCGUGCUACAGGAUGAGCUUGCGUCGGAUUAGCUAGUUGGUGGGGUAAAGGCCUACCAAGGCGACGAUCCGUAGCUGGUCUGAGAGGAUGAUCAGCCACACCGGGACUGAGACACGGCCCGGACUCCUACGGGAGGCAGCAGUGGGGAAUAUUGCGCAAUGGGGGCAACCCUGACGCAGCCAUGCCGCGUGUGUGAAGAAGGCCUUCGGGUUGUAAAGCACUUUCAGUGGGGA